rnacentral:lncRNA from 1 species
AAAUUAACAAUUGAAACUUAAUUAAUACGGUUUGGACCGAAUCGACAACGCCAAUCUCUCAACCAAGAACUAUCUUAGUCAAUGAGAAUAUAUAUAUAGAGUCCGGCUACUAUACUCUUAUGAGUAUAGACCUCUUUGUACUUAUAAGUUUUCGGCCGUUAGAUCUAGCCCUUUGAUCAUUUCCACCCGUUAGAUCAUACUAUUCAACCAACCAUCCAUUUAGCUCUAAGAGACCACUAUCAUUUUAACUGGGAACCACUAUUAUCCUAAGUACUGUACAUUUCUUUAUCCCAUGUCCGAAAACUUAUGAGUACAGAAGGGCCUAUAUAUAUGUAUUGAACAAGAAGAACUUCAAAAGUCGACAUAAAU